UACGUAGGGUGCAAGCGUUAAUCGGAAUUACUGGGCGUAAAGGGCUCGUAGGCGGCCAACUAAGUCGGACGUGAAAUCCCCAGGCUCAACCUGGGAACUGCGUCCGAUACUGGAUGGCUUGAAUCCGGGAGAGGGAUGCAGAAUUCCAGGUGUAGCGGUGAAAUGCGUAGAUAUCUGGAGGAAUACCGGUGGCGAAGGCGGCAUCCUGGACCGACAUUGACGCUGAGGAGCGAAAGCCAGGGGAGCAAACGGG
rnacentral:rRNA from 1 species